rnacentral:lncRNA from 1 species
UUUUUUUUUUUAAGAUUUUAUUUAUUUCUUGAAGAGAGUGAAAGAGAGAGCCCAAGAAAGGGGAGGAUCAGAGGGAGAAGCAGACUCCCCGCCAAGCAGAGAGCCCCAACAGGAUUACAUCCCAGGACUCCAGGAUUGUGACCCGAGCCCAAGACAGAGACCCAACUGGCUGAGACACCCAGCUCUAGACAUCUGAACCAGAAAAAUCACCUUAAGUGAUGAAAAGCAUGGUGUGCAAAUCGAC